UGCUUAUCCAGAAAGACUGAGGGAACGGGCCCGAAGAAGUCUUAGCAUCCUAUUCCGAAAUCGAAACCGGAAUGUUGUGCUAAAUCCCAUUCCAUCCGCCAACUGGCGGUUGGGAAAAGAUAAGUA
rnacentral:ncRNA from 2 species